AUCACGGACUAAGAUAUAAUGGACUAUGCCAGUGAAUGUCUAUGUUUACGUUUUAUAUAAUUAGAUAUAAAUUACAUUUGAAAUGUGUGGGCUUUUGGACGGUGUGUGAACGUAACCUAAAAUAUCAGGUUUCGAGAUCAUGCCCAAGACCCGACCAUAGUUGGUCCUAUAGGUUAGGAAGCGGAGUCACCAACCACAUAUUCGUUUAUAGUUAACAUUAGAUACAUAAACCAAAGUACCUAUAAGCAAUUUAACAACUUAAAGUCCCAUUGAGGAGGUACUAGGAGUACUAGGGUUGAAUAUUCAUAUUCAAUAUAUAUAUAUAAGGAACAAUGUUAAAAGAUAUUUUAUGAAGUUACAUAGGUACUCGGUGGCUUGGCGGUUUCUAUAAUUUUGUACCAGGUGCAAAAUGCGAUUUCCAGCAUCAACAAACUUCCUUUUUGAAGGAGGUGGUUGAUUACCUGCCACAAGAAAUUCAUAAUAGAUAUCUCUCUCUGCUUGCACCUUUCUGAGUUCUAUUAUGAAUUUCCAAAUUGUAGGGUUGGACAUGCUGAGCUGUGCUUGGAGCCUCCUAUGAGAUGCUUCAGCAAUAUUAUUCGUUUUCUGUUACCACAGAUGACCAAUUCAUACAAAUAAAAAAUAAUAAUAAUUAACAACAAUGAUUUAUAAAAUGUAAUUAGUUCUAAAUGCAUAUGGAUUAAAAUGAGGGAAAAAAGAAAGGAUUCGAAUAUGUAACAUACCAUUUGUUCUGCCAAGACUCGAUUAUAUAGAUUCCAGGUAGGAAUAGGAAAAACUGGUAUUCUCCUAACACCUUCCCUUCUCAGCAUUCCAAUAUAAUGCGAUUCUAGCCAAUCGAGGAUUGGCUGUAAUGAUGGAAAUACUGCUUCUAUUUCUAUGCUUAGAAUUUCAAAAUAAGCAGCUACGUCUUCUGGUGGGACAAAUGCCAAUGCCGUUAUCAUCCGAGCAUAUAAAUUGAAAUCGGGAUUAUUUCUGUAGUCUCUAAAUUAAUGGAGUAAUAUUAAAACAUAUCAAUGAGAUGAAAAAAACAUCCUCGGAUUUCAAUUUCAGGAAAUUCAGUCCUGAACGCGUUAUGGAUAGCGAUCUCAAAAUCUACAGAAAUGCUUCCGGCAAUUAUCCCUGGAGCUAGAGUUUUAAUUUCUAUUAAAAGUCUAUUGUAGGUUGCCUGGUUUUUAUUUGGCAAAAGAGCAUAUAUACAUGGAUGAACACCACCGUUGCGAGUACCUAGGAUUACAAAUACUUGUGUAAAAAGGAUUGGGGCGAUCUUGAAUGUUCCAUCCACAAACCACUCAUUGCUUGUCGCAAGUAUCUAAAUUAUAAUAUACAAAAUUCAAAUGAAUUAAGUGAACACUUACUGUAUAAUAGGGUAUAAUAUAUUAUUUUAACAUUAGCAUAUUAUUAUUUUUUUUUUUUGUUGUAAGUAUUAUUUUUAAUUAUAUUCUUGCUAUAUGGUAUAUAAGAUUUUAUACACUGUACAAAAAUACAUUUUUAUAGUUUGAAUAUAAAAUUAUAUUUAAAUAAAAAUCAUCUAUUCUGUU